UACGUAGGGACCGAGCGUUGUCCGGAUUCAUUGGGCGUAAAGAGCUCGUAGGCGGCUGCUCAAGUCGAAUGUGAAAACUCGAGGCUCAACCUCGAGCCUGCAUUCGAUACUGGGCGGCUAGAGUCUGGUAGGGGGAUCUGGAAUUCCUGGUGUAGCGGUGGAAUGCGCAGAUAUCAGGAGGAACACCGAUGGCGAAGGCAGUCCCCUGGGCCUGUACUGACGCUCAUGCACGAAAGCGUGGGGAGCAAACAGG
rnacentral:rRNA from 1 species